rnacentral:rRNA from 1 species
GAUCCUGGCUCAGGAUGAACGCUAGCGGCAGGCCUAACACAUGCAAGUCGAGGGGCAGCGGGAUUGAAGCUUGCUUCAGUCGCCGGCGACCGGCGCACGGGUGCGUAACGCGUAUGCAACCUACCCAGAACAGGGGGAUAACACUGAGAAAUUGGUACUAAUAUCCCAUAACAUCAGUAAGGGGCACUUCCCGUUUUGGUUAGAAACCGUCCGGUGGUUCGUGGAGUGGGCAUGUCGUUGUAUUAGCUUAGG